rnacentral:rRNA from 1 species
UACAGAGGGUGCAAGCGUUGUUCGGAAUUAUUGGGCGUAAAGAGCGCGCAGGCGGUAUGACAAGUCAGAUGUGAAAGAGGCCGGCUUAACCGGCAAGGGUCAUUUGAAACUGUCAGACUAGAGUGCAGCAGAGGAUAGUGGAAUUCCCGGUGUAGUGGUGAAAUGCGUAGAUAUCGGGAGGAACACCAGUGGCGAAGGCGACUAUCUGGGCUGCAACUGACGCUGGAGGCGCGAAGGCUAGGGUAGCAAACAGG